CUACAAUUUGCAAAUUUUCAGUAAAUAUUGUGACAUGUGGGUGUUCGUUGUACAUAAACACAAUUUCUAGUGUUUAUAAUGCGGUUUUCUGUUAUCUAAUAUCAAAAACAAACUGGUGUAUUAUAAUUACUACUGCUGUUGACAGGACAGAAGCACAAUUGUUUUCAUAUAUUUUCUUUUACGAGUAGCAUAUGUUGAACUGUUCAGUCAUCAUUCGCGUUUUAAUCUCCGAUCAAACGAGGUCAUGAGAGUUGAUCAGAGUUGGCAGUCACGAUUACACUAUCAAAGUUUCCAUGCCAUGGUGAUCACAAGUAAAUUCUAAGUUUUGAAGGAUUUGUUACUUAGUGUUAAACACUGACUCAGUUCUCUCAAACAUUACUUACCGCAAAUCCUUCAAGAAUACACAAUUCCCAUUCUAGACUAAUUUUAAAACUAGGCAAGGAGAUGCAAAUAAAUCACCACAGCUACUUGCCUAGUUUUAAAAUUAGUCUAUAAUGGCAAUUGUCUAUUUACCGAUGUAAAAUUCCUACUGCGAUCACAGAAACUUUGAAAGUGUAAAGCAGACUUUACAGGGGACAUCUCAAGCUCUAGAUUAACAAAAUAUAGGUUUGAUGAGAGUAAUUCCAACAGUACAUGUUAGAACUUAAAUAAAAUUGAUGAUAGUGUUGGGAAAAGCAUUAAGAACAGCUAACCAAGCUCGCGUGACUACCAACUCUCAUGGACUCUCAUGUAGCCUCGCUUGAUCCAGUUUAUACAUAUUGCCACAAUAAACAUCAGUUCAAAAUUGUUGUCCCCACCCUAGAUGGGCAGAAGAGCCAUGCCUAUUAAAUGCAAAGUUACUCAUGCAAAUAUCAGAGCAGCCAAAGAAAACAUGCUGUGUUUGUUCAAGCUGGGAGUACUUCUCUCACAUGUGACUGAAGCGAAUUUUAAAACAGUUAACAGUAUAUUACAAGAAUCGAGCCCCAAUUACAGAAUUGAAAGACACGCCAUCAACACCUCUGGGCAACAAACGCCAACAAGGGGCGUUAAUGUUUUCUUGUUCCAGUAAUACUGUCAUUCCCUAUUACAUUGCUCAUAUCACGGGCAAAACAUCUUAGCCGACAUAUCAAGAUCCUGGCAGUCUGUCUGAACUCGCUUUUCCUCCAGAAAACGUACAGCGGAUUGAACAAUGAAUGAGCAAGCAGGACUAUUUCACCCCACGGUGUGACGAUGUAGAUGCCCAUGAAAUUCGUGGGUUCUGUGUAAUAGUACGCGAACAUAAAUAUGAGAGGGAGAUAACAUAGUAUUAGUCCUACGACGAUUAUACUACAAGUUCGAGUGUUUUUGUGCGUCUGUUGGCGAGAUUCGCUUUCAGUUUUUGAUGUCACUUGGAAAGGCCUGUGGUUGGUAGUUAUUCUUCUUUUGUGCUUUCUUAACAGUUUAUACACCCAUAUCCAAAUUGCGAGCAAUGUAACGAUACAUACUACAACAACAGUAAAACAAAGAGCUAGAAAUGCUUUAUAUGGUAUCAACCAAAGGUGGCAUACUACCACAACGAAUGCAGAACACCAUAUAUUUGCCACAAUAAUGUUCAUUCGUAAUCGUGUUAGGAUCGUUUGGUUGCGAUAUGGAUAUGCCAAAGUAAUGAAGCGUUCUACGCUUAUAAAAGUCACAGUAAGCAACGAAACUCCGGCAGAAAAAUAAGAUGUAAGUCUGGCGACGGUCCAGAGAAUACAAUUAUGAGUGCCAUAAGUCUCUUUGAUUAAUCUGGUUGCAUGAAGUGGUAGCACCACAGAGGUAACAAGUAAAUCACUGAAUGCCAACGAAAGAAGAGGUAUAUUGGACAACGUACGUAAACGGGAGUUCUUAAAAUACGACAACACCACAAGAACGUUUGCAAUACUUCCCAAAAGAGCCGACAAUAAACUUAUUGUAAUAAGUGUGAUGUUGGUGUAGAAACGCAGCCCAAUAGCAGGUAAUGUCCAGUAGUAGGUUACGAAGAAAUCGCUACAUCGUUUCAAUUCGCCCGUAAUAUUUUCAGCCAUGAAGUCUUUAUUACUUGUCAAUUCAACUUCUUAUCCGAGAAAUUUAACGCUGCCCAGACUUGGAAGGAAAUUGAAGAAAUAUAAACGCUCUCCUUUCUACAAGUGACCACUACACGAUCUUAUCACUUUGUCGUUCUUUUUAUCAGCUCAUGGCCAUGGGACAGAUGGUCUCAAACGAAAUUUUUAUCCAUGAUUGUCUCGUCUGCAAUGAAUUGUAUCAACACUUUUUCAACUCGAACGCCUACCCAACUCUUGAGCUGGCUUUUCCAUGAAUUUGCAAUUCCAAUCAGUUUAGUUAAAACUUAAGUAUGGAUAAAUGAGCCCUUAUAGCUUUGUUUCCGAUUUCUAGCCGCAAGAACGAAUUCAAUUCAGUAACGUCCUCUGGAUAAUUCUGUUUGAUCAAUGACUUGCCUACAGUGAUCUAAUCGGUGUCUAAUGCACUUUUUCUAAUUUCAUGACAGUCAUAUAUACAUAUAUAUACAUAUAUAACUUAAGCAGUUU